rnacentral:rRNA from 1 species
AGCCACCGCUAUUGGAUUUCGAUUAAACCAUGCGAGUCGAGAGGGUUUCGGCCCUCGGCGGACCGCUCAGUAACACGCGGAUAACCUGCCCUCGGGUGGGGGAUAAGCUCGGGAAACUGAGUAUAAUACCCCAUAGACCAUCUAUGCUGGAACGCUUGAUGGUCGAAAGCUCCGGCGCCCAAGGAUGGAUCUGCGGCCUAUCAGGUUGUAGUUGGUGUAACGGACCAACUAGCCUACGACGGGUACGGGCCUUGAGAGAGGUAGCCCGGAGAUGGAUUCUGAGACAUGAAUCCAGGCCCUACGGGGCGCAGCAGGUGCGAAAACUUCGCAAUGUGGGAAACCACGACGAGGGGAAUCCAAGUGCUUGCACAAUGUGUAGGCUGUUUCCAUGCCUAAAAAGCAUGGAGAGUAAGGGCUGGGUAAGACGGGUGCCAGCCGCCGCGGUAAUACCCGCAGCCCGAGUGGUGGUCGUUAUUAUUGGGCCUAAAACGUCCGUAGCCGGCCCGGUAAAUUCGUGGGGAAAUCGGUCAGCUUAACUGACCGAAGUCCGCGGAGACUGCCGGGCUUGGGACUGGGUGAGGUCAGAGGUACUUCAGGGGUAGGGGUAAAAUCCUGUAAUCCUUGAAGGACCACCAGUGGCGAAGGCGUCUGACUAGAACGGAUCCGACGGUAAGGGACGAAGCCCUGGGGCACAAACGGGAUUAGAUACCCCGGUAGUCCAGGGUGUAAACGCUGUGGGCUUGGUGUUGGGAGUCCCACGAGGGCGCCCAGUGCCGGAGAGAAGUUGUUAAGCCUACUGCCUGGGGAGUACGCUCGCAAGAGUGAAACUUAAAGGAAUUGGCGGGGAGCACCGCACGGGUGAGCGUGCGUUU